GGUCAAUGCAUAUUGCAUUUUGCAACGGUUUUUGUACUUUGUAGUGAGUUUUAUAGUUUGUAAUUUUUGUGAUUUUAUCCAGGAAAUAUAGGAGCUGUGGUGAUGAAAUUUUCCAACACAAAAGAAAAAGACAUAGAAGCAGUACGGUAAUUAAAUACUGGCUGAAGUCUCCAAAAACUCAGUUUACCAGCAAAGAGAAAUCUAAAAAUGUUCAAACACCGGAUCCUGGAGGAAAAUGUGAAUGCUUCAAAAAUUGAGAUUGAAUUGAGGUGUAGUAACAUAAACCAGUAUGUAGCUCAAAAAAAUUGCUACUUCAAACAGGAAGAGAUUAAAGUAUUCUGGAGCACCACAAUAAGGACCUUUCUUAAUAGAUAAAUGACAUGCAUGAGUUAUUUUAAUAAACAAACUUCUCACAUUA